rnacentral:rRNA from 1 species
AGUGAACGCUGGCGGUAGGCCUAACACAUGCAAGUCGAACGGCAGCACAGUAAGAGCUUGCUCUUACGGGUGGCGAGUGGCGGACGGGUGAGGAAUACAUCGGAAUCUACUUUUUCGUGGGGGAUAACGUAGGGAAACUUACGCUAAUACCGCAUACGACCUACGGGUGAAAGCAGGGGAUCUUCGGACCUUGCGCGAUUGUAUGAGCCGAUGUCGGAUUAGCUAGUUGGCGAGGUAAAGGCCCACCAAGGCGACGAUCCGUAGCUGGUCUGAGAGGGUGAUCAGCCACACUGGAACUGAGACACGGUCCAGACUCCUACGGGAGGCAGCAGUGGGGAAUAUUGGACAAUGGGCGCAAGCCUGAUCCAGCCAUACCGCGUGAGUGAAGAAGGCCUUCGGGUUGUAAAGCCCUUUUGUUGGGAAAGAAAAGCAGCGGGUUAAUACCCCGCUGUUCUGACGGUACCCAAAGAAUAAGCACCGGCUAACUUCGUG